UACAGAGGAGCCAAGCGUUGUCCGGAUUGACUGGGCGUAAAGCGCACGUAGGCGGCGGCGUAAGUCGGGUGUGAAAUCCCUCGGCCUAACCGAGGAACUGCGCCCGAUACUGCGUUGCUUGAGGAUCAGAGGGGUGCAUGGAAUUUCCGGUGGAGCGGUGAAAUGCGUUGAUAUCGGAAGGAACGUCGGCGGCGAAAGCGGUGCACUGGCUGAUCUCUGACGCUGAGGUGCGAAAGCCAGGGGAGCAAACGGG
rnacentral:rRNA from 1 species